GAUGUGAAUCUACUAUAGUUGGUAGGUGUAGUGGGUGAUGGCGUAAUGAUAGAAAAUUCGGGUUAUAGAUUUGGUGAAGCGAGGAGUGCAGUGGAGUGUGAGAAAAGAUUUUGGAAGAGACUUGAGGUGGUUUGCAGAAGCCAAGGUGGGAAUAUGAGGGAAUUGUUGAGUCGACUCUCCUAUAUGAAAGUGAAGUGUAAAUACUGAAUGCAAAUGAAUAAAAUUAGAGAUGAACUGUUUGCAUUUUAGAUGUAGUGGGGGAAGGAUGAUUGAAAAGUUGAAAAAUGUAGAGAAUUUCAGAAACGUGUGAAUGGAUUGAUAGAUCAGUGUUUUGAGGUGUUCUGGUCGCAUAUUCCUGAACUGUCUGUUCUAUCUUAUUUUCAUGGCAUGAAAAGUAUGACACUUCCGUGUAUCAGAACCUUCACUGAAAAAGCGGGACGCCAUAUCUUAAAAACUAACCAUAGAAUCUUCUUGAGAAUAAUCUCAAUAUAUUGCCCACACCCAAACCUUCUCACACAAGGGAGGAAGAGAGGUGUAGGUACUGCGGUAAUACUGGACAGGUAGGUAGCAGUGUGUGUGUAAAGGAGUUCGACGCACUAUUGAUGAAUCUCCUUAUGAGACAGCUAAUGUCACGGAAGUUUCUACCACGAGGGUUUCAUCCACGAAUCAACGUGUCAGCCUUUCUUUGGCACCAGCCUUCGUUUUAAGGGAAACGGCCGUAAAUUGGAAAUGAUAUGACUGUACCAAAUUUAUUUACGGAAUAAACUGUGCUCAUAAAUUCUUGAUCACACGUAAGUUUUAUUUAAGCUUAUUAGGAUAAAGAUUAGCUGACAGAUGUGCCUAACAAGUCUGAUCCAAUUUAUGGUUAAGAAGUAUUCCUGUCAAUAUAUAGGUUAAAAGUUCAGUCCAAUCAAAGAAGCCUUAUACAACCAUAUUAUUUUGUAUCACAUGAAUAAUAAAAAAAAAUCAAAUGACAGGAGUAAUUUCCCAUCGUUGGUUAUCAGGUGACAUAUUUUGAUAAAAAUUACGUGCCUAAGUACAUACGAGAGAGAGAGAGAGAGAGAGAGAGGUGGGGAGGGUUUUAUUUGAUGAAAUACGUAACGAGCGGGGUAAAUUACCAAGCACGCAAUGUAGUAUUGGUAAAGAUUCUCUCUCUCUCUCUCUCUCUCUCUCUCUCUCUCUCUCUCUGUGUAACUUUCUUGCGUUACUUCUCAGACAACAUUUAUCACUGGCCCCGUUGCCAAGGACAAAUUGUCUCAUUUAGUUCACGAAACAAAAAACUCUUUCAAUCAACGUGUUCGUCUGUCACUCCGCAGUUGGCAGACAGUAGUAGUUGGCAUCGUGGAUUCUGGCGAGGUGGUGGUAUUAGCUGACUUCUCAAUUCCAAGUUGCCUCAAUAAAUCUAUUUUUUAUCUUUUAUUUUACAGAAGUCUUACCACGGGAGGUCUCUUAUUCUUCGUCGGUGGUGCCUCUGAAUCUUUGUGGUCGUUUUGUUAUAGCUUGAUUGAUUAUACGUUAAUACCUGUAUUAUUAUUUAAGGAGGUCAGUGUUCACUCUUUCAAUUGUGUAUACGCUCCUUUCUUUAUUCUUUUGCCUAAUCGUUUGUUACCAGUUGCUUCUUCUUCCUCUUUCUCUUUUAAAUGAGUGAAUCUGAUUCUCUGUGAGCACGUUAUGAAUGUUAAUAGCUGGUAAUGAUCGUAAGUUACGAGUGUCUGUUCCAUCUAACACUGGAGUUAGGGCGAAAACAGUUGUCUUGGUGAAUUCAGAGAUGUUAAGCAGUCAUUGCUUUUGCCCAAGUCUGUGUUUGUGCGAAUGCGUUGACAACGGCUUCGUCUGAAAGAAAGAGAUGGCCCCUCUUUGUCUAUCUUGACUGCUUAGAGGUCUUGCUUUCCAAAUCAGUUUUUAUAGGCCACUUACGCUUUUUUAAAGCACUUGUAAUUUGAAUCACCUAGUCUUCAUAGUAAUUGUUCUUUAAUAAAGCAGUUGUUCUUAAGAACAUACACUCUUUAAAGCACUUGUUCUAUAGAAUACUUGUUCUCUAAAGCACUUAUCCUUUCAGGCAACUUAGGUGAAGCAAUUCAAUAAUGUUCCAAAGGCUCAGAUUUUCGGCAAAACUACCUGAUUUGAUGAUCAGUCGACUGAUUUGCUUUAAUCUGUUUGCUAAAAUUCAAUAAUUUUGUAAAAUGGGAUAAAAACAGUCAAAUAUAAAUCCGUUUAUGCUUUAUAAUUUUUCUUUUUUUAUUUGUCCGCCCUAAGGUCAUAAAAACUACUGAGGCUAGAGGGCUGCAAAUUAGAUUGUUUUAUCUUCGCCCUCCAGUAUUCAAACAUACCAAAUUGCAGCUCUCUAGCCUCAGUAGUUUUUGUUUUAAGGUUAAAGUUAGCCAUGAUAGUGCGUCUUGCACAGCUACAGGAGCCAAGAGCACAGGCCACCACCGGGCUGUGGCUAAAAGUUACAUAGGCGGCGGCUGAGGCUUUCACACAGCCUUAUAAGCUGUACAGAAAAGAAACUUCGACGCAUUUUAUACUUUUUUUUUUACACCUGUCUUCAGGGAGAAGACAAGCGUCUUUAGGCACUGAGUGUCGCAGCGAAAGAGAAAGGGGGAUAGGGUGGGGAUGAGAGAGAGAGAGAGAGAGAGAGAGAGAGAGAGAGAAUUACAACAAUGCCCAUGAUAACACCUGAUUUUGCGUGAGAAAAUAUCACCUGAUAACCUUGACAGCAACUGACUCAGUAGAAUUUUAUUGUAAACAAUGUCCUCGUUUUUAAAAUAAUUGUGAUAAACAUCUUAACCUAAUGACCCUAGGAAAGUACAUACUACGCCAUCAGCUCGCGAACAUCCCAACUAAAAUCUUAUCAGUUCCUCGAUUCUGACAAGAUUUUUUGAAAAGCUUGAGAAUUUAUAAACCUUGCGAGAACUUCAGGCGAUUAUUCUCUUUGUGCCUUGGCUACUUCAAGAGGUGAACAUUUGGAUCGUGUUCGAGUGGUUUUUGUUGAUGAGUUAUAUGCCAGAUUUUCAAAGGAGCAAAACAUCUUUGGAAAUCAAAAUAUUGUUUUCAUCGAGCCAUUUUUAGUUGCCUUGUCUGAUGUUGAAACAAUCGCGGACGAAUUCACUGCGCCAACUAGAAUAUUUAGUCUUUAGUGCAUAAAAUAUAACUUGGUCUUUAUCUUUAGACUAUAUACAUUUCUGGAAAUCAAAAUAACGGUUUCAUUGAGAGGUUGUUAGUAGACUUUCCUUGUGAGGAAACAAUCGCAGACAAAUUCACUAGGCCUGCUACAAUCUUUAUUCUUUAUUACAUAAGUCGAACAUAAUUCUUACAUUUACUUUAGCAGUGAUGUUCGGACGUACACACUUCUUCUUCAGAGCUGUAGUACUCGGUCGUUCUGCUGUCACUCCACAAUGGAGGUUAGCGGGAGCUUCCAGAACUGACAGCAUUGAGCAUCAGGCGCGACUCGCUCAGACCUCCUCUUUGCUGGUCAAGCAGCUUCUCAUCGUCACAUGUCCACCGUUAAAAUGGAAGACGUCAACUCAGUGCCGAGCGGACAGUCAGCAUGGAAAUUGGAUUUCAGCAGUCAUUCCUUUGCUUUCAAGCACAAGAAGACCAAAGAGUUGAUCAGGGGUCUUCUUGUUUCUGAACGCAUGCGCAGUCGACACCCUCGUCAACC